UACGAAGGGGGGCUAGCGUUGCUCGGAAUCACUGGGCGUAAAGGGUGCGUAGGCGGGUCUUUAAGUCAGGGGUGAAAUCCUGGAGCUCAACUCCAGAACUGCCUUUGAUACUGAAGAUCUUGAGUUCGGGAGAGGUGAGUGGAACUGCGAGUGUAGAGGUGAAAUUCGUAGAUAUUCGCAAGAACACCAGUGGCGAAGGCGGCUCACUGGCCUGAUACUGACGCUGAGGCACGAAAGCGUGGGGAGCAAACAGG
rnacentral:rRNA from 1 species